GGCGGCAUGCUUAACACAUGCAAGUCGAACGGUAACAGGCCCUUCGGGGUGCUGACGAGUGGCGGACGGGUGAGUAAUGCGUANGAAUCUGCCUGUUAGUGGGGGACAACCUGGGGAAACCCAGGCUAAUACCGCAUAAUCCCUACGGGGGAAAGCGGGGGACCUUCGGGCCUCGCGCUGACAGAUGAGCCUACGUCCGAUUAGCUAGUUGGUGAGGUAAAGGCUCACCAAGGCGACGAUCGGUAGCUGGUCUGAGAGGACGACCAGCCACACUGGGACUGAGACACGGCCCAGACUCCUACGGGAGGCAGCAGUGGGGAAUAUUGGACAAUGGGGGCAACCCUGAUCCAGCAAUGCCGCGUGGGUGAAGAAGGCCUGCGGGUUGUAAAGCCCUUUCGGCAGGGAGGAAAAGCUGAAGGUUAAUACCUUUCAGUCUUGACGUUACCUGUAGAAGAAGCACCGGCUAACUCUGUGCCAGCAGCCGCGGUAAUACAGAGGGUGCAAGCGUUAAUCGGAUUUACUGGGCGUAAAGCGCACGUAGGUGGUUUGAUAAGUCGGAUGUGAAAUCCCCGGGCUCAACCUGGGAAUUGCAUUCGAGACUGUCUAGCUAG
rnacentral:rRNA from 1 species